CAGGAUACAGUGCUCAGGAGGUCGUCGAUUUUGUUACGGGUCUUGAAACCAGCAGCUCGGAGGAGGACAGUACACAGCCCAGCAGUAUAACACAUGAGGUGUGCGUCCAGGACGAGAUCUUUGCGUCCCGCAAUAGCGACAUUUCCUGGACAAGCAGAGCAGAAGAUCGUGCAGGAGGCAGACUGCCAGCACGACAUAUCCUGAGGACACCUCCAGGCCAACGAGGCUGUGCAGGGGACAUUCUUUCUGCCUUCAAGGCAUUCAUGCCAAGACGAGUAGAAAGAAUCAUUGUCACUAUGACAAACCUAGAAGGGAGAAAGCAGUUUUCCAGCAGCUGGGUGGAACUGACCUCCAUAGAAUUUGAUGCCUUCCUCGGCGUCUGCAUUCUCGCAGGCGUCUUCAAAUGAAAAGGAGAGUCAAUCGCUAGCCUUUGGGACUUGAACGUUGGGAGACCAAUCUUCCCAGCGGUCAUGAACAGGGUGCGGUUCGGGCAGCUGACAUCGGCCCUCAGAUUUGACGACAAAAGAUCACGGCAAGCAAGACGGACGAUGGACAGGCUUGCACCCAUCAGAGACAUCUGGGACCCGUGGUCAGCAAAUCUCCCUGUCAUGUAUAAUCUCGGCCACGACUUGACAAUGGACGAGCGCCAGGUACCAUUCAAAGAUGCGUUCUUGCAGGACGCUGCUCCUUCAGGCAAUAUAUGCCUGGCAAGCCCGGGAGGUACGGACUGAAACUCUGGGUGCUGUGCGACGCCAGGACAAGCUACUGCUGGCGGGUGAAGCUGUACAUGGGGAAGCCUCCGGAGGAGGCACGGGAAGUCGACGUGGCGAAAAAUGUGGUGCUGGAACUGUCUGAGGGGCUGAGGGGGCACAACAUUACUUUAGAUAAUUUCUUUACCUCCUUCAGUCUGGGACAGGAGCUCCUCCAGCGUCACCUUACGAUGGUAGGCACUGUGCGCCGAAAUCGUCCAGAGCUGCCGCCUGCUCUGCUAACAACUAGGGGCAGGCGGCUACGCUCCUCCAAAUUUGCAUUUUCCCAAAAUAUGACACUCGUGACUUACAUCCCCAAAAACAACAAAAACAUGCUUCUAAUGAGCACGUUCCACAAUAAGCCAAACAUCACCCAACGGCAAGACAGAAAGCUGGAAAUCAUAAUUGAUUAUAACAAAACUAAGAGGGGGGGGGGGGGGUUGACACCAUGGAUCAGCUAAUUUCCAAUUAUUCAUGCAAAAGGGAAACCGCUCGCUGGCCCCUUGCAUUAUUUUAUAACAUUCUGGACAUUUCGGCGCACGAUGGCUACAUCGUGUGGAAGGAGCUCAAUCCCGGAUGGAAGGCACGACUGAAACAGAGACGCAGGCUGUUCCUGCAGGAGCUGGGCGAAGCCCUAAUCGGUCCCACUGUUCCGCAACAAAUGCAUCUUCCUCGAGGGUCUCAUGCUGCUGCAACGGUGAGAGCAAUCAGGGACGCCCAGAUCAGCCAGGCCCACCCCUCAGACGUCCAGUCCACCCAAUCCCAACCCAGUGCAGUCCCACCUCCCCCGGAAGAGAAAUGCAAAAGGAAGAGGGUGCAGCCUGUGCCAUUAUUCUACUGACCGUAAAGCGAACGCGCAGUGUUGCAAGUGUGGGGCACAAGUGUGCAAGGAGCAUUAUGACAUUGUCUGUAAAAAAUGCUAAAUAUAAACUGUAAAUAUAACUGUAAAUAGUUUAGUUCUUUAUUAUUUAUAGUGUAUAGUGUAGUUGUUUGCCGCACUUGUUUGUGUUCUGUGUUCCCGUGUGUUCCUCUUUUCCUGUUUUACCAGCAGUUAUCUCAUCACUUUUAUGUAACCAUACUUGUGUUCUGUGUUCCCGUUUUACCCACAAUUGUGUGUUCUCUAAAGUUCUGUAAUUCUUUUUUUGUUUUUUAAAUUUUGUUAUUUCACAAGGUUCAUGUCUUUUGAUAAAGUUUCAUCCCUUUA